rnacentral:tRNA from 1 species
GGUGGUGCAGCUCAGUGGUAGAGCACACGCUUAGCACGCACUAGGUCCCGGGUUCAAUCCCCAGUACCUCUA